rnacentral:lncRNA from 1 species
UGGUGUUGCUGGUUAGUGUGCUGCUGGAAAGUGUCAUAGAUACCAGCAGCAGAGUGGGGCUUAGCCUGCUGGUAGCAAGGAUCCUGUUCAACGGGUCUGUAACACUGCAUGUAAGCCAUGGUUAGUUUCUUAUUUGUUUGUGAUUGAACUCAAGAACUGCUUUUACUGCUGAGUUGACGGACUAUGGAUGAAAUCUCCCUCCCAAUUUAUAGGAGAAAUAUUGGUGAAGUUGUAUGAUUUGAUAUGAUUCUAACUUUUUCAGAUAAGACUGGAGCAUCUGCAUUAUUUUAGCAGGAAGAACAAAUGCCUCCAUCAUGGAUUCUUUUGGCAAUAUGGAGGCAUGGGUGCAUGGUUCUGUUCAUUUAUAUGUUUUGGUGGAGUUUCUUCAUUUGGCAGUGUUCCCAUCUGCUUUAAUUGUUCCAAUGGUCCUGAAAGAACGUGAUUCGAUGGAAGACAAUAUUAAGUGGUAAGUAGUGAAUCUGCUUCUUCGUUUGAGUGGCAGGUUUAACGCGACUCAGUAGUGGGUGGAGGAGCUACUGCUUUCUGCAUGAAGAUGAACAAGAAGAUUUUAUUUGUCACAAUCAUAUUCAGUGCCUUGAGCAUGUUGCACUCUGCUCUACAGACGUGCUGCGUUGGGGCCAAUCGAUAAAGGCGUAAGGCUCAGGAUAUGCCUCUGAAUUACAGCACAGUUCUUCUCAGCCCGCAAAGGCAAUUUCUUGAGGUCUUCCGCAUAAUUGUCGAGGAGAAUAAGCAGAGGAUUCAAAUUUGGCGCCAACCUUCAAAUUAAUGUUAUAAAUAAGCUGAUUAAGGUCAUGAAAUACAACCAAACCAGACUUAACGGAGUUACCAGACCCCGUUUUUUAAUUUAUUUUAGUAUAGUGUUUAAUUUUAUGGGUUGAUAAUCGAGUUUUGGUUGAUUUAGCGAUUGAGUGGUUCAGUUAUUAUGGGUUGAUGAUGCUCAUCCUUUUUUUUUUGUAAAAUGGAUCAAUCAGCUUCGAGAGAAUGAAGAUAGAUAGAUUUGAAACUUAACGACGCUCGUGGGAAGUAGUUGAGAGUGGGGAUAAGGGUUAUCGUGGUCGUUGAGGGAGAUUUGUAGACUUAAAAGCGAAAGAGUUUUAUCGAUAGCUUGUAUCUAAGGUUCUUUGGAAGAUGAAUUUAG